AAUCACUAUCAAAAAAGAGCAUACCAGUGUAUAAAGUGUAUGGUGGCUCUCUUUAGCAAUUGCCCUGUUUCUUACCAAAUAUUACAGGGUAAUGGAGAUCUUAAAAGAAAGUGGACCUGGGCUGUGGAAUGGCUUGGAGAUGAACUUGAAAGAAGACCGUACACUGGCAAUCCUCAAUAUACUUAUAACAAUUGGUCUCCUCCAGUGCAAAGCAAUGAAACAUCAAAUGGUUAUUUCUUAGAGAGAUCACAUAGUGCUAGGAUGACACUUUCAAAAGCUUGUGAACUCUGUCCAGAGGAGGUAAAA